rnacentral:rRNA from 1 species
GGCGGCGUGGAUAAGACAUGCAAGUCGAACGGGAGAAUUGCUAGCUUGCUAAUAAUUCUCUAGUGGCGCACGGGUGAGUAACACGUGAGUAACCUGCCUCUUAGUGGGGGAUAGCCCUGGGAAACCGGGAUUAAUACCGCAUACGAUUGAAAGAUCAAAGCAGCAAUGCGCUAGGAGAUGGGCUCGCGGCCUAUUAGUUAGUUGGUGAGGUAACGGCUCACCAAGGCGAUGACGGGUAGCCGGUCUGAGAGGAUGUCCGGCCACACUGGAACUGAGACACGGUCCAGACACCUACGGGUGGCAGCAGUCGAGAAUCAUUCACAAUGGGGGCAACCCUGAUGGUGCGACGCCGCGUGGGGGAAUGAAGGUCUUCGGAUUGUAAACCCCUGUCAUGUGGGAGCAAAUUAAAAAGAUAGUACCACAAGAGGAAGAGACGGCUAACUCUGUGCCAGCAGCCGCGGUAAUACAGAGGUCUCAAGCGUUGUUCGGAAUCACUGGGCGUAAAGCGUGCGUAGGCUGUUUCGUAAGUCGUGUGUGAAAGGCAGGGGCUCAACCCCUGGAUUGCACAUGAUACUGCGAGACUAGAGUAAUGGAGGGGGAACCGGAAUUCUCGGUGUAGCAGUGAAAUGCGUAGAUAUCGAGAGGAACACUCGUGGCGAAGGCGGGUUCCUGGACAUUAACUGACGCUGAGGCACGAAGGCCAGGGGAGCGAAGGGGAUUAGAUACCCCUGUAGUCCUGGCAGUAAACGGUGCACGCUUGGUGUGCGGGGAAUCGACCCCCUGCGUGCCGGAGCUAACGCGUUAAGCGUGCCGCCUGGGGAGUACGGUCGCAAGAUUAAAACUCAAAGAAAUUGACGGGGACCCGCACAAGCGGUGGAGUAUGUGGCUUAAUUCGAUGCAACGCGAAGAACCUUACCUGGGCUUGACAUGUAAUGAACAACAUGUGAAAGCAUGCGACUCUUCGGAGGCGUUACACAGGUGCUGCAUGGCCGUCGUCAGCUCGUGUCGUGAGAUGUUUGGUUAAGUCCAGCAACGAGCGCAACCCCUGUUGCCAGUUACCAGCACGUCAAGGUGGGGACUCUGGCGAGACUGCCCAGAUCAACUGGGAGGAAGGUGGGGACGACGUCAGGUCAGUAUGGCCCUUAUGCCCAGGGCUGCACACGUACUACAAUGCCCAGUACAGAGGGGGCCGAAGCCGCGAGGCGGAGGAAAUCCUGAAAACUGGGCCCAGUUCGGACUGUAGGCUGCAACCCGCCUACACGAAGCCGGAAUCGCUAAUAAUGGCGCAUCAGCUACGGCGCCGUGAAUACGUUCCCGGGUCUUGUACACACCGCCCGUCACAUCAUGGAAGCCGGUCGCACCCGAAGUAUCUGAAGCCAACCGCAAGGAGGCAGGGUCCUAAGGUGAGACUGGUAACCGGGAUGAAGUCAU